AUGAACGCUAGCUACAGGCUUAACACAUGCAAGUCGAGGGGCAGCAUGGUCUUAGCUUGCUAAGACUGAUGGCGACCGGCGCACGGGUGAGUAACACGUAUCCAACCUGCCGUCUACUCUUGGACAGCCUUCUGAAAGGAAGAUUAAUACAAGAUGGCAUCAUGAGUCCGCAUGUUCACAUGAUUAAAGGUAUUCCGGUAGACGAUGGGGAUGCGUUCCAUUAGAUAGUAGGCGGGGUAACGGCCCACCUAGUCUUCGAUGGAUAGGGGUUCUGAGAGGAAGGUCCCCCACAUUGGAACUGAGACACGGUCCAAACUCCUACGGGAGGCAGCAGUGAGGAAUAUUGGUCAAUGGGCGAGAGCCUGAACCAGCCAAGUAGCGUGAAGGAUGACUGCCCUAUGGGUUGUAAACUUCUUUUAUAAAGGAAUAAAGUCGGGUAUGCAUACCCGUUUGCAUGUACUUUAUGAAUAAGGAUCGGCUAACUCCGUGCCAGCAGCCGCGGUAAUACGGAGGAUCCGAGCGUUAUCCGGAUUUAUUGGGUUUAAAGGGAGCGUAGAUGGAUGUUUAAGUCAGUUGUGAAAGUUUGCGGCUCAACCGUAAAAUUGCAGUUGAUACUGGAUAUCUUGAGUGCAGUUGAGGCAGGCGGAAUUCGUGGUGUAGCGGUGAAAUGCUUAGAUAUCACGAAGAACUCCGAUUGCGAAGGCAGCCUGCUAAGCUGCAACUGACAUUGAGGCUCGAAAGUGUGGGUAUCAAACAGGAUUAGAUACCCUGGUAGUCCACACGGUAAACGAUGAAUACUCGCUGUUUGCGAUAUACAGCAAGCGGCCAAGCGAAAGCGUUAAGUAUUCCACCUGGGGAGUACGCCGGCAACGGUGAAACUCAAAGGAAUUGACGGGGGCCCGCACAAGCGGAGGAACAUGUGGUUUAAUUCGAUGAUACGCGAGGAACCUUACCCGGGCUUAAAUUGCAGAUGAAUUACGGUGAAAGCCGUAAGCCGCAAGGCAUCUGUGAAGGUGCUGCAUGGUUGUCGUCAGCUCGUGCCGUGAGGUGUCGGCUUAAGUGCCAUAACGAGCGCAACCCUUGUUGUCAGUUACUAACAGGUUCCGCUGAGGACUCUGACAAGACUGCCAUCGUAAGAUGUGAGGAAGGUGGGGAUGACGUCAAAUCAGCACGGCCCUUACGUCCGGGGCUACACACGUGUUACAAUGGGGGGUACAGAGGGCCGCUACCACGCGAGUGGAUGCCAAUCCCAAAAACCUCUCUCAGUUCGGACUGGAGUCUGCAACCCGACUCCACGAAGCUGGAUUCGCUAGUAAUCGCGCAUCAGCCACGGCGCGGUGAAUACGUUCCCGGGCCUUGUACACACCGCCCGUCAAGCCGUGGGAGCCGGGGGUACCUGAAGUGCGUAACCGCGAGGAGCGCCCUAGGGUAAAACUGGUGACUGGGGCU
rnacentral:rRNA from 1 species